GCCCAUAAUUUCCGGGUUCCUGUCGGGCGGGCCAAUACGGCUCGAAGGUCCAAUCAAAUCAUUCAGCUCGCGAACCUAUGUGGGCGAUAUCUAUCAAAACAACGUUCUGUGUUAGGACUCGCGCGUGUUAUUUACAAAUUGAAAACAUUGACUGAAAAUAUUAUCUCUUGAUGUUUAUAGAGAUGCAGUGACAUAUUUAAGUGAUAUUUGACUUAUUAAGACUGGAAUUUUGCUAUAUUGACUGUGUGAAAAUUAUUUAAGUGCCGAAAAUGACAGCUUCUACGAUGAUUGAAUUGGAAUCCUGGAUAAUCUAUCAAUGUGUCCUGAAUGAAUGCCAUGUGUCCAGCAGCUAGGCUGGAUGUGUAGCUGAUUGUUUUUUAAACCACAAGUUUUUUUUAAUUUUCCUCAUGGUAUCAUGUAAGUUUUAUUUUUAUUUUGAGUUUUUUUCUCAUUUUAUUUUUACUUUAUUGACGAAUAUGUUAACUAACCAUUUAUUCACAGAAUCAUUGUUUUAGAAAUUUAACAAUUACCAUUGAAAGCUGCGUAACUGCACGAUAGUGUUUUGAGUAAUUUCGGUGCACUUUUCUCUUGACAUUUGUCUUAACAUUCCCCAACUAUAUCUUACAGCGUCUUUAAAUAAUCUUCUGUUCAAAAUGUAACGCUUGUUUGGAAAACGAUGCUUAAAAGAGAAAUUUAUGAUAGUUCCGCGAUCUAUUUAAAAACGACGACGUAUUUUGCAGCUUUUAAGGUAAAUCUCAAAAUAAAACAACUUACCAUAAUCACCGUUUGCUAUUUUGUUCGACUACACCUAAGGCUCCCUGUCCGUUUAUGAGCAGCAUGUCUACAAAUCACGAUCUUUCAAUUAUUUUGUCAGUUACCUAUUGUUUCCUACUAACCCCUUAAAUUGGAGGCCGCCACCCGGAAUUUUUCCCAUUUCCGAAGACGGACGCAUGGCCUGCACGGUUCGGGACGAUUCAAUUUGACGUUAUUUUCCGGAUGCUUGACAUCAGUUUGCCGAGAGGUUGUAAAAAUAAUCCGGAAAAUCGGGUCCGAUGGCUCAGAUAUACGGAACUUUCUAUAUGCAGUGAUGUUCUGGCAAAUACCUGCCGAAUAUUUUGUAGUUUUGGUUUGUUAUGCUAUUAGCAAAUUUUUGUUAUGUGCUAUCAAAGCAGUUUAAACAGCAGGUAAGUAUCGGGGUCUUUAAUUCGAUUCUUGAGAGUUUAUCAAUAAAAAUUCUUAUAAUUAAUUUUGUAACUACGUCAAUGUAGCCAAAAAGUUCAGAGGCUCAUAGCUUUAAGAGAAGUAAAAUCUCUUAAAGUUUCAGUGGAUCCAAUCCGAUAUUACCUUUGACAUCACACCACGCAGUAUCUUCUCAAAAAAGGUAGAAAGCAUAAAAUCUCCAAUAAAACGAAGAGGUAGGAACAUUAAAGCUCCUCGCAUGACACCAGUAAUGAGGAAGCGUUCGGCAAUAUGUGCACAUUUUAUAGUGGACAUAAAGCCUCCGUACCAAGGUGUGAGACCAUCCGCCGAGAAGGUAUAUUGCCAUUGAGAAUUACUUGCGAACUACUUCAAUGCCUGUACUAUGAGAUUGAAGUCUGAAGAGUGACUGUUGUUAUUGUGGAAAAAGAGGUUCUAUGCACUGUGGAGUAGGCUCUAUAACGUACGCUUGCUUUCACACCUGAAGAAUUUUGGCUGCAGGAGCUCAUAAAAAAAUGUGAUGUGUGAUUUUCUAAUCUCUUGACUGAAUUGAUUGAAAUAGACGGUAAACUGAAAUAAGUUGGAUCAAGUUUUGUUUUGCUGAAAAUGUUUUCUUUCUUAUUCUACAUUUUCAACAUAGAUACCAGUUACUGGGCACAGGCCUCUUCCCAAAAUAUUUGAGCAUUGAUCAUCAAGCUUCCUUUUUUCAAUUUCUUAUUCUUCUUUCCUAUGUCUUAUUAGUAAUUAUUGCGGAUAAAAUGUUAAUGAAACAGAACAUUAUUUAAUACUAAGUAUUAUGCCAUAUUCCUUUAUAAGGGCUGUGUGAGUUAUCAGUUAUGUUGGAUCUAUCGAUAAAGGUCGUGCGGUGAGUAACGGGCUGGGACCGGAUGGUUGCUCAUACAUACUUGUGUGUAAUUGUUUGCUUAAAGCCUAUGUUUGUCUUAGGUUUUGAGAUUUUGUAGAAGUUUAUGAGUCAUACCAAUAGAACAACAUUUUUCAGGGUUCGUUCGGCGAGAGAUUAAAAUUUAAUAAAUACGAGAAAAGAAAGUCUGUUUAGAAAAAGACCGUGAGAAUAAUUCCCUGAAAUAUGGAAUAGCCAACCCACAAUGAACAACUGCGGUGAUUAAAGCCUUACUUAAUCAAUCAAACGUGUCCUCGUAACUCUUCGUUUUUGUUCAGCAGUAAGUCAUUUACAAACUUAUAUCGCUACUAUGUAAAUUAUCCAAAGGUAAAUAAUAUGAUAAAAUCGUGGAAGAGUUCUGUUAAAAAAAAUGUUCUAAAGACACAUCCAAAAAAUACAUACUAAAAUGAACACACUACAAUUAUUUAAUGAAAUAAUGUAAGUAUUAAAUUGUACAUAUUUUCCUAAUUAAAACAUGGUCAAACAGUUAAUUGGAGAUAGUUUCCCGGAUAGUUGCGCCUUAAUUAACUUACACCCUUGUUAUAAGUGUAUUACGGAAAGGUAUUAUGUAUAAGAUAGCGUAUACAGUUUUAAUAUUGUUUGGGAGCGCGGAAUAUCCUUUUAAAGCGUAAUUACAUUGUCAUACAGUGCGAUUGUGGUAAGCUAUUAGUAAUUUACCUUUGGGUGAUUCCAAUAAUGAGCACAAUUAUGAUAUUUCGCUUGUUCUCGAAAUCCUAAAUGUCCAACAAAAAACAAAAUUUUAGAACAAUUAUAUCUACUAUAUUUAAAUGUCCGUUAAAUUUUUAUCAAAAUCGAUCCAGCCGUUUUUAUAACUGUAAAUUGCAAUAUCAUCGGGUUCAAAGCUACUCUGAAAAUUUCAACUGGCUAGCUUAUAUGACUAUAAAAACGAAUAAAUAACACAUAGGUAGAGCCUUCACCUUCAGCCUAACCUAAAUACCAAAUACCUACCUAAGUAAUUACGAACAAUUAAAAUACAUAUAUAGUAACGACAAAAGAGUCCUUGCAACUAAAGGUUGUAUAAAGAAAUGGAGCGACACAUCCUUGACACGGCCGCGCCUCACAUGUGUACAAACAUUUCUUUGGUAUUCACACAUGAUUUAGGUGUUGGUAUGCUAAAGGCCGUUUUUAAUUAUGGCUUUAUAAGUUUGGAAAGACUUGCAUUUAUUUCUGUAACUUUUUGCAUGUCACGUAAACGAUUUUUUUAAUAGUAUGUGUAUUUUAAUUUUACAUUGCAAUGGGUUUUUCACAGGCGGUAAGCAUCAUACUUAGUACUUAAGUUAUUUGUCAUAAGGACAAUGAUCCGACUUACCUACUCAAACACUAGGUCUUGAGUGUCUAGACCACAACAAUAAAAAAAUAUGAUACAUAUCGCAAAAUAUUGGGGUACCUACACGAUACGAUUCAACGUACAUAGUCAAAGGAAAUCCUAUGAGACUUUUAAUUUCGACAUCAGUUCAAAUUGAACAUUCAAAACGAAAAUCACUUAUCUGAGGAGUAGCUGCAAAAAAAACAUAAUCUAAUAAAACAAUUUGCCUUUUGAACUUGUGGCAAACACAUGACAAAAAUACGAGUAGGUACAUUUUUUAUUUUAUACAAAACUCGAUUCAACAUCAACCUUGUCUGAUCCUUGACUUCCAAGGCGGGCAUUGAAGCACCCUUCUUAUAAUAUUCAACAACAUUUUUAAUUUUAAUUUGGUUACCCAUUGGGACAACGUAGAUAAGAGACCACCCACCACGACCACUUCAAUAAGACUGUCGCUGUUGUGAAAGCGAGAUAGCGCUAUACACGGCGUAAAGCUGCAUCUCUUUUCCACAAUGACACAACUCUUAUUGAAAAGAUAGUGAUAGGGCCUCAGGGCGUUGUUUAUUUGCUUUGCUGACGGCUAGUACUUCCCAACCUUGAAUAACAUUACAGUUUGUAAAAUAUAACUAACUAUACAUGGUGACAGGAAUACGGAAUCGUUAACUUCGCGUUAACAGUUUGGCGAGUUUAAGUGGUAACAUUUUUUUUAAGCUUGUAAAUAUAUAUAAAAAUCAACAUCAUUAAUGAAAUUAUUAGUAUUGAAAGUGAGGGGUUACAGAUUUAUUAAUUUUGUAGUCCGCAAAUGUUGCACUCUUAACACCCUGUGAUACGGACCUACAACGUUAUAUGUUACGUUGUAUAGAUAGUCAUAUAGCAUACCUAUAGAUCGUAAAGAUUAGGUAUUAUAUUCCUUGUGUGCUGCUAGAAACAGGUGUGGAGGAUUCAAACCGAUUAGGUUUCCUUUUGCGCUUGAACUGUCUGCAUACUACAUAUAGGUUGUGAACUUGGCAGGAUACAAUAGUAUUAGAUUUUGAAAAAAAAAAUGCUGCAAAAACAGGGUGUGAAAAGUAAAACCCAAUUUCAUCCCAGAGUUGUUU